rnacentral:pre_miRNA from 8 species
ACACAAUCGCUGUGACAGAGAGAGGCGGCGAAACCGUUACCAUUACUGAGUUUAGUAAUGGUAAGGGUUCUGCUGCCUUUUCUCAACAAUCAUCUGGAUGUAAGAGAACG